UCUGACCUCAAAUCAGGUGGGACUACCCGCUGAACUUAA
rnacentral:rRNA from 1 species